rnacentral:rRNA from 1 species
AUUGAACGCUGGCGGCAGGCUUAACACAUGCAAGUCGAGCGGGGGAAGGUAGCUUGCUACUGGACCUAGCGGCGGACGGGUGAGUAAUGCUUAGGAAUCUGCCUAUUAGUGGGGGACAACAUCUCGAAAGGGAUGCUAAUACCGCAUACGUCCUACGGGAGAAAGCAGGGGAUCUUCGGACCUUGCGCUAAUAGAUGAGCCUACGUCGGAUUAGCUAGUUGGUGGGGUAAAGGCCUACCAAGGCGACGAUCUGUAGCGGGUCUGAGAGGAUGAGCCGCCACGCUGGGACUGAGACACGGCCCAGACUGCUACGGGAGGCAGCAGUGGGGAAUAUUGGACAAUGGUGGGAACCCUGAUCCAGCCAUGCCGCGUGUGUGAAGAAGUCCUUAUGGUUGUAAAGCACUUUAAGCGAGGAGGAAGCUACUCUAGUUAAUACCUAGGGAUAGUGAACGUUACUCGCAGAAUAAGCACCGGCUAACUCUGUGCCAGCAGCCGCCGUAAAAC